rnacentral:lncRNA from 1 species
GACUGGAGAGGACGGUGGAAGCAACUGAGGCCAAUGCCAGCUCAAGUCGAGCGCUUGUGGAGUUGGCAGGAGAGCAAGGCCUGGGGCCUGGGCUGCUGCGGGUGUGGUGACUGUGGCCUCAGUCACAGUUAUGGCGAUUGGAGGAGGGGCAGAGGGGUGUGGGUGCUUGUUUAAAUGUGGGCAAGAUUUUCUUCUGCACUCUCUGAUAGCACUUCAAGUUGUUUCCCCUGCUUCUGGGGAGAGAGGCCAGACGGUAAAGACUACAGAAUGACAGGGUCUGGCCCUGCAUGCCCAGCCUCAAGCUCACUACAUUAUCCAGCUUCAUCUCAAACUUGUGGUGAUCCUCUCCGGACUCUGCUUCCUGCGUGCUGGGAUUACAGGCCUGCACCAUCAACCUGCCUAACAGACCCACUUUACAAACUGCAGAAAAGCUCCGAAGAGAUUAGGUAACAAGACCAAGGUCAUGUUACUUGUCAAGAAUAGAGGCAGAACUCAAAUCCAGGCUUAUGUGACCUUGAUCUCAAAGUCUGUACUGUCUCUACACAUAUUGCUGGCCAUCUGUUGGGACUGAAGGCUCAGAGCCCGAGGGGCCUCUUCUAUGGAAGCUACCCAGGCCCAGGCCCCAUACCUCUUAAGGCCUUAAUUUCAACUGGAGAUCAUUCUAAUAAAUCAAUCCUCAACUUCCCAGACCAAAUCUUUAUCAAAAUGGCAGCAAUAUGAGCUUCAAUGGCUUGCUUCAAGCUCUGCUCAGCUUCUGUACUUCAGUGACCUGCUCUUACCAGAGAAUUUAGGCUCUAGACCUAGAGUAGUCAUGGCAUGGUCCCUGCCCCAUAAAUAUACAGUUACUCUCAGCUCAUACAUACUGUGAAGUUGAGGUUCUUAUCUUAGGGUGUUGGUUCAUGUGUUUAUUCAAAUAUUUAUGGAAAUACAGCUCUAAGUACCUCACAUAUGCCAGGCCCACAGCCAGGGGCUUGAUCAUCAGGCCUUCCCUGGUUUUGUUUGUUUGUUCGUGGUUUUCUAGUGGGGUCUCUGGAUCAAAGGCCCCAGUAAACUGAGCUAGCACAUCUUGAUCAACAAGGGUGGGUUUCACCUCAAAACACCUAGAGCAUCUAUCUAUAGUAAGCAUCCCUUUAGAACCGAGGCCCUGGGGCUGGAGGGAAAUUGGGACUGGCUCUAAGGGAUGUAUGUGGUAUUUGGUAUUUCUUUGGAGGAAGAUGAAAAUACUCUAAAGUGGAUCCUACUGAUAGCUGUGCAAUUCUGUGAAUGC